CCUACGGGAGGCAGCAGUGGGGAAUUUUCCGCAAUGGGCGAAAGCCUGACGGAGCAACGCCGCGUGAGGGACGAAGGCCUCUGGGCUGUAAACCUCUUUUCUCAAGGAAGAAGAUAUGACGGUACUUGAGGAAUAAGCCACGGCUAAUUCCGUGCCAGCAGCCGCGGUAAUACGGGAGUGGCAAGCGUUAUCCGGAAUUAUUGGGCGUAAAGCGUCCGCAGGCGGCUUUUCAAGUCUGCUGUUAAAGCGUGGAGCUUAACUCCAUCAUGGCAGUGGAAACUGAAAGGCUUGAGUAUGGUAGGGGCAGAGGGAAUUCCCGGUGUAGCGGUGAAAUGCGUAGAUAUCGGGAAGAACACCAGUGGCGAAGGCGCUCUGCUGGGCCAUUACUGACGCUCAUGGACGAAAGCCAGGGGAGCGAAAGGGAUUAGAUACCCCUGUAGUCCUGGCCGUAAACGAUGAACACUAGGUGUCGGGGGAAUCGACCCCUUCGGUGUCGUAGCUAACGCGUUAAGUAUCCCGCCUGGGAAGUAUGCUCGCAAGAGUGAAACUCAAAGGAAUUGACGG
rnacentral:rRNA from 1 species